rnacentral:tRNA from 1 species
GGGGAUGUGUUGGAAUUGGCAGACAAGCAUGACUUAGGAUCAUGUGCCGCAAGGCGUGUGGGUUCGACUCCCACCAUCCCCACCA